AGAAGCUGUGGCCGCACUCCGCCGUCACCGGCGCGUCGAACAGCUGCAGGCACAGCGGGCAGGACAGCUCCUGGCGCAGCAGGCCCGGCGCGGCCGCCAUGGCGCGCCUGGCACAGGAGAGGUGUCCUAGGUCAGAGACAGACUUCUCAUUGAUUCCUCACGGUCGGCAGUCAACGUUUGUCCCCCUGUGCCCGGGAUGACGUGAUGAGAGCCAGGUCCAUUAGCCUGUGAGAGUAGCCAGACACCCCACACAACCUCGGCUCCCGGGACCAAAGCCUGGCUCUCCCGGAAGUUGUGACAAGGUUUCAGGAGCCCUGGGGAGCCCCGGACAUGCUGGAAUAUUUGCUAAGAGGCUGAGAGAGAACGUACACACAGCUCUUCUCCCUUUUUUUAAUGCCUCGUUUCUUCCCAGUAUGUGCAGUUGGGAGCUACAAGGUCCUGGCGGUUAGGAUUCUGAUUCUUACAUCCUCUGGCUGUGAGAGAGGAUGCUAAGGUGCAGGGGAAGGUGGAGAUUUCGGGGCUUCUGAAUUCCAAGAUUGGAAGCCUUGGCACUCCGGUGAACCGGUAAGCCGGGUUCCUGGUCCGUGCCAGCUAGUGCAAGCCUGGAUUCGCGGGCACCGCCCAGGAGCGCCUCCUCUCCCGGCUGGUCUCCCGGGUCCCACCUUGCGGACCAAA